ACGUUAUUCGGAAUCACUGGGCUUAAAGCGCGUGUAGGCGGGCCGGCACGUCGACGGCUGAAAUCCCCCGGCUUAACCGGGGAACGGGCCUCGAUACGACCGGCCUUGAGGGGCGUAGGGGGAUCGGGAACUUCCGGUGGAGCGGUGAAAUGCGUUGAGAUCGGAAGGAACGCCCGUGGCGAAAGCGCGGUCCUGGACGCCUACUGACGCUGAGACGCGAAAGCCA
rnacentral:rRNA from 1 species